GUGUGGUCGGCUCCUUCUGGGUCAACAAUUGUGCACUGCUCAGACUGUUUCAAGGCUCAAGAGAGAAUUGUCAGUCAGGUUCUUGGGGGAAACUGAGGAGAUGAAAACAAACAAAGAGGUGGUUCCUUUCAUUAAACACAUACGUCACAUCAAAUCCAGCUUGGAGUGGACCACGGGAUGAAUUCUGUGCUGGAGUAUGAAGGAGUAGGGAAAGAAGACAGUGCCUGUCCAAGUCACUCAGGUUAGAUUACCAUCCCAGGGGGAAAAAAUUUAAAGUUUUAAUCAAAUAAAUGCAUCAG
rnacentral:lncRNA from 1 species